GAUCAUUCCUGAACAUAUACUAAAAUUGGAACAGCACAGAGAAGAAUAGCAUGGUCCCUGCGCAAGGAUGACACGCAAAUUCGUGAAGCGUUCCAAAAAUUU
rnacentral:snRNA from 1 species